rnacentral:rRNA from 1 species
UACGAGGGGGCAAGCGUUGUUCGGAAUUACUGGGCGUAAAGAGCUCGUAGGUGGUUUGUCGCGUUGUCCGUGAAAUUCCCUGGCUUAACUGGGGGCGUGCGGGCGAUACGGGCAGACUGGAGUACUGCAGGGGAGACUGGAAUUCCUGGUGUAGCGGUGGAAUGCGCAGAUAUCAGGAGGAACACCGGUGGCGAAGGCGGGUCUCUGGGCAGUAAACUGACGC